AGGGGUAUAGUUCUUCGCGAGCUAGAGACCGGCGCACGGGUGCGUAACGCGUAUGCAAUCUACCUUACACUAAGGGAUAGCCCAGAGAAAUUUGGAUUAAUACCUUAUAGUAUAUGACUGGGACAUCCCUAACAUAUUAAAGAUUUAUCGGUGUAAGAUGAGCAUGCGUCCCAUUAGCUAGUUGGUGUGGUAACGGCAUACCAAGGCAAUGAUGGGUAGGGGUCCUGAGAGGGAGAUCCCCCACACUGGUACUGAGACACGGACCAGACUCCUACGGGAGGCAGCAGUGAGGAAUAUUGGUCAAUGGGCGCAAGCCUGAACCAGCCAUGCCGCGUGCAGGAUGACGCAUCUAUGGUGUGUAAACUGCUUUUGUACAGGAAGAAACAGUGCUACGUGUAGCACCUUGACGGUACUGUAAGAAUAAGGAUCGGCUAACUCCGUGCCAGCAGCCGCGGUAAUACGGAGGAUCCAAGCGUUAUCCGGAAUCAUUGGGUUUAAAGGGUCCGUAGGCGGUUUUAUAAGUCAGUGGUGAAAUCCGGUAGCUCAACUAUCGAACGGCCAUUGAUACUGUAGAACUUGAAUUAUUGUGAAGUAACUAGAAUAUGUAGUGUAGCGGUGAAAUGCUUAGAUAUUACAUGGA
rnacentral:rRNA from 1 species